UACAACCUCUCAAAUAUUUCUAACUCAUACUCAUGUGAAUAUAGUUUCCAGGAUGUGCACUAGAUUCACACUUUCAUCUUAAGCAUGAUUAUACAUAGCAAACACAACUAAGAUGAAAGAAACUUAAGACUUACAACAACUUAAUAAUUACAUAGGCCGACCGGCCAAAUAGACUUAUUAGAGAACAGCGGAAGCUUGACUACCCAAUCACAAGCACACCGACUAGGGGUUUACCCCAUUAAGUUCUCAUCCUAGAAGAAGCAAUCAAAACCCGCAUCACUUAAAGACUAAGUCUAAACCUGCAAACAAAAGGUUAUAUCAACAACAAGAGUCAGUACAUUAAAUUGUUUAAUGGCAAGUACAAGUCAAUCCUACUAUACUACAUGUAAGGCAUAUAUUCAAAGGAAGGCAAUAUGUAGUUCAAUUUCAGUAUAAAGCAAGUUUUGUUUCGCAAUUCUUUUGUAAAGGAGUUGAUGCUUCAAUUAACAAAACAAAUUUUAAGUUUCAAUAUUAAGUUCAUCAUAAUUCCAUCAUAAUCAAUCUCUUGUUGUCAUCCUUCGACAACAAGUCAUAAUAUAUCACCACACACACACAACUCAACACAUUUAUCAUUUCAAACCAAGGUCAUAUGUUCACAUUUUAAAACAUAGUCUAUACUCAUGACACUUCACCAAAGCGCUCUUGACCGUGAACACGGCUAAUCAAUUAGUUUAAAGAACUCUGCAAAAUUUGUACACCUUUAUCCACAUGAUGUGAUAGAAGCCCAGAGGCUACACUCUAGUUGGUUCAGUGCCGGCCAAGCACCCCACACUCUACAUUAUGAGUGCGGACUAGAGGUCACAACGAAGCCUUUACACUACUUAGAAUCUAGCCUUGCACCAGCACGAUACGUGUUCCUCCAUCCUAGGCAUACUUGAAAAUAUGUCUAGAACCGUUAAGUGGCGGGCCCACGCCUUAAACUUAAUGCCGUGGUGGCGGACACAACGGGAACCCACCCACGUGGCACAAUACCGUUGUAUUGGACAGACUUAGUCCCCUAAACUACCACGUCAGGGCAAAUAGGAAGUUCCUCUGAAUCAUCGACUAAUUCCUCAGAAUUAUCGACUAACUCAUACACACCAGCCUACCAGAAUGCAAGGCUAGUUCUAAAUAGAUUAAUCAGCUUAGGCCAUCCCAUACUAGCACAUGUGGAUGUACGAAUAACUUUAAGUUGGUGACACAAGUUCGGUCCUUACGGACUUGGCCAAACACUCCCCCUAUCGGCAUGCACCUAACACCAUAUGCACAUCACUUGCCGCCCAAGUCUAAAAUCACAUUUUACACAUUUUAGUUCGCAAAUACCCAUCAUAUUCAUUUUAUUCCAGCAAAGGUUCAUGUGUCAAAAAUCACAUUUUAAUUAUAGAUGGAAUGAACAUUUGCAUAUUUCUAAGCAUGGCUAAGCAAGUAGUUGCAUAUAGAGCAUAUAUAAACCCAUUUGAGCACAAAGAGUGUGCUCUAACCAUUUCUAGGGGUUCAAACAGCAAGAGGAUCAAUUAUUCAAGGUAGGGAAUGCAGCAAAUAGGUCAUAACUACCUUAUCCCAAUUUCAAAUACCGAAAUAGUCUAAGUUCACAUGCAACUUUGCAAACAAAUAUUUUCAUUCCUCAAAUCAUGGGAUUCAAUGUGUUCAAAGGAUGGGAGGAGAAAACUUGCCUUGAUCAGAGAAAUGUUAGCACCUAAUCCACUCCUUCACCGAUUAUGCAAUUAUCUAGAUAAAGGACACGUUAUGCAAUUAAACACCGAAAUAGCUGAAAAUCUAAAAUGCUCUAAAAUUCAUGAUUUAUGCACAGUGAUUAGGUACUGGUCUUAUAAUGAAUUUAGGUGAAAGAAUUUUUAUUUUAUCUUAUUCCAUUUGGGAGUUAUGAAUUUUAGAGGUUUUAUCGGUUUAUAGUAAUAUAGUCUUAGGUAGUGUUACAAAAUACUUUUGUAAAGUGAUUUUUAUUAGAUUAGACUUCACAGGGGUGUGGAGAUGUGUUUUCUAAGACUAACACAUUUGGUUUCACAAAUUUUGGAUUUAUAAUGAAUUCUUUAUGCAUUUUACAAGUUAUAACGUGUUAGAGUUGUUGGUUCAGAACAUGCUACCUACUGUUUAAGUUGAAUAAAAGAAGUAAUUUGGUUAACUAAAACAUUUUUAGUUCACAUGUUUAUGGUUUUUACUACUAUGGUUCAUACUUUAUAAACUAGGGGUGCUCUGAUCUAGACUAGCAAUACAUUAUAUUAACCUAGAAAUUAUUAUAUGAGCUAAGUUCUUUUAAGUUUUAGUGGAUGGGAAAGGAACUAUGCUCCACUGUUCUAACAAGUUUUAUUUAGGUUUAUUCAUAGCUAGAGUGCAUUAUAAAUACUUCUACACAUAUAUUUUGCUUAACCAUUACUAAGUAAUUAACUCCUAGGUUAUCUAUUUAAAGAUUAGAGCUAUCAUUUGUACAAAAGGUGUCUUAUUUUAUUUUACUAUGUUGAAGCUAACCAUUUGCUGGUUCUAUAGAAACUUGGUUCAUUUCAUUUGGACUAAAAAUGAAUUUUCUACAAAUCUUACAAAUUAAAGGCUUCUCUAUGUUGGUAAAUCCUUACAUGAUUAGAGACUUUUACUACACAGUAAGUAUAUAAUUUUAUUUCAUAACCUGGGAAUACACAUUUUGAUGAUUCUACAGAACUUAAGUUUACUAAAAUUGAAGCUAAGUUGAAUUUUAUAUGAAUUUCUAAAAUUUAGCUUAUCUAAAACUAGUCAUUUUAAAGAUAAUAGUUUUAGAGGCUUUUGAUGCAAAGUAAGUAAUUACUUUUAUUUCACCUAAUCAGAGAGUGCAUGAUGAUGAAUUUGUAGAAUUUGAGUUUGUUUCAAAAUGAGUUUAGAUGAAUUUUCUAUGUGUUUUAUAAAUUUGUAUAUGCUUUAUGUAUGACUUAUCUUAGAUAAAUGUUAGAGGCAAAGUUUGUACAGUGAGUGUCAAGUUUUAUAUUCCUGGAAUAAAGUUCAUAACCUUAAGAAUCUACAGCAACUGGAAACACUUCAAAAUAAGCUAUAUUUGAUUUCUUAUGGAUUUUACAAGUUUGUGCAUUUUUCUGUUAAACAUAUAUUUGUUUGGCAUUGCCUUAAUUAUUCUCCAGAUUUUAAAGGAUGGGGUCCACAUGGCUGUGAGGGACCAAUAUGCAAAAAGGCCCUUGAGGUUUCUAGGAAUCAACCCGCAGUCCUAGGCCCAUAUGUCAGUGUGUUUCUACAAUUGUAAACGGAUCCCUGCACUUAAUCUAAUUCACGGGAGUCAUCCCUCUGCUCUAGACAGAGCAGAGCUAGCCAUGGCUGAGCUCGAUCUCGAGCUCGCCAGCGGCAAACGUUGGCUCGUUUGAGGUUGAGGUCAAAAGAUAAAAUGAAGAGCAAGCUCUCGCGAUUCCAUUCCUCUAGUUUUCUUGGUUUGGGGACAUCGGAGUAGCGCCGAUGGCUAGUGUGAGCGGAAGGUGUUUUCGGGUGAUGGUGCAUGUGCAUCUACAGUCAUGUAUUGGUUAAGUGGGUGCAUGCAUGUGAGUAUUUGAGGUUCAUGGGUAUAUACCAUGGUGUUGGCCAGAGUUGAUGAGGUCCAGACGAUGGCGGCAGCACACGAAAAUGGCUUGGCGACGGCGCUUCACUCCGGGAUGACGUCGACGGCUUGAUCUACCAAUCCAUCUGGCAUGAAUGAGGUCAUACGUUGUUAGCGAGGUCUCAGGGAUGCUUCAUGUGCAAAGAAUCAGACAAUGGCUCACCGGAGAAGGCGGAAUCGACCAUGGCGACGGCGGCGGAUUCAAAUUGGCGCCGGGGAAGAAAAGAUGCGUUCUCCGUGUUCUAGAUGUCUUGGGCUGGGGUUCUUGAGGCGUUUUGAAGAGUAGGUCGAGGUGAGAUUCUUGGCGCAGCGGCUUGCUCCGAGAUGGUCGAGGAUGGCUAGACGACGACGAUGAUUGAAGCGGCGGUGCUCCAGUGCGUGCUCCAGGGCGCCGUCGGCGUGGUCGCGUUCCGAUGGCUGUGAUGCACAAAACGGGAGGUGGUCAAAAGAGAAAUGGUUCGGCAUUGUGUGGAGAUAAGGGAACGCGAAAAACAUAGAGAUGACCUCGACCCAAUCGGCGUUGGCGAAGGUCGUCGCCACUACGACCGGCGGCGAGGUUGAGGAUGACGGAGAGGCUGAGGACCUCUCCCUCGGCUUCUUCAGCUCUAGAGUGAUGUGCGG
rnacentral:lncRNA from 1 species